rnacentral:rRNA from 1 species
UACGUAGGGUGCGAGCGUUGUCCGGAUUUAUUGGGCGUAAAGGGCUCGUAGGCGGCGUGUCGCGUCGGGAGUGAAAGCCCGUUGCUUAACGGCGGGUUGGCUUUCGGUACGGGCAUGCUGGAGUGCGGCAGGGGAGACUGGAAUUCCUGGUGUAGCGGUGGAAUGCGCAGAUAUCAGGAGGAACACCGGUGGCGAAGGCGGGUCUCUGGGCCGUUACUGACGCUGGG